UACGAAGGGUGCAAGCGUUACUCGGAAUUACUGGGCGUAAAGCGUGCGUAGGCGGUUUGUUAAGUCCGUUGUGAAAGCCCUGGGCUCAACCUGGGAAUUGCAGUGGAUACUGGCGAGCUAGAGUGCGGUAGAGGAUGGUGGAAUUCCCGGUGUAGCGGUGAAAUGCGUAGAUAUCUGCAGGAACACCCGUGGCGAAAGCGGCGCGCUGGACCACUACUGACGCUGAGGAACGAAAGCUAGGGGAGCAAACAGG
rnacentral:rRNA from 1 species